rnacentral:rRNA from 1 species
UCGAGCGCGCCUUCGGGCGAGCGGCGGACGGGUUAGUAACGCGUGGGAACGUGCCCAGAUCUACGGAAUAGCCACUGGAAACGGUGAGUAAUACCGUAUACGCCCUUCGGGGGAAAGAUUUAUCGGAUUUGGAUCGGCCCGCGUUAGAUUAGGUAGUUGGUGGGGUAAUGGCCUACCAAGCCUACGAUCUAUAGCUGGUUUUAGAGGAUGAUCAGCAACACUGGGACUGAGACACGGCCCAGACUCCUACGGGAGGCAGCAGUGGGGAAUCUUGGACAAUGGGGGCAACCCUGAUCCAGCCAUGCCGCGUGAGUGAAGAAGGCCCUAGGGUCGUAAAACUCUUUCGCCUGUGAUGAUAAUGACAGUAGCAGGUAAAGAAACCCCGGCUAACUCCGUGCCAGCAGUCGCGGUAAUACGGAGGGGGUUAGCGUUGUUCGGAAUUACCUGGGCGUAAAGCGCACG